CGCAGCCGCUGUUGCCGUUUCCUCUCCAGGUUCUGCUCCUGCUGCCGCCGCCGCUCCGCCCUCACCUGCAGCCGCUGCUCGCGCCGGGCCCGCAGAGCCGCCAGCUCCGCCUCACCUUUGGGGGCUGCGGGGGACACACCUGUCACACAGCUGGACACACCUGGGCACACCUGGACACACCUGGGCACACCUGGGUACACCUGGGUACAGCUGGGAUACACCUGGAUACACCUGGGAUACACCUGGGCACACCUGUCAGACAGCUGGGAUACACCUGGGCACACCUGGACACACCUGUCACACAGCUGGACACACCUGGACACACCUGUCAGACAGCUGGACACACCUGGGCACAGCUGGGAUACACCUGGGAUACACCUGGAUACAGCUGGGUACACCUGGGUACACCUGUCAGACAGCUGGACACACCUGGGAUACACCUGGAUACACCUGGGCACACCUGGGCACACCUGGACACACCUGGGAUACACCUGGACACACCUGGGAUACACCUGGAUACACCUGGACACAGCUGGGAUACACCUGGGGACACCUGGAUACACCUGGGCACACCUGGACACACCUGUCAGACAGCUGGACACACCUGGGAUACACCUGGAUACACCUGGGGACACCUGGAUACACCUGGACAGGUGUGAUUCCCCCCACACUGUCACAGGUGUCCCCAGGUGUGUCCCCAGGUGUGCCCCAGGUGUGUCCCCAGGUGUCCCCAGGUGUCCCUCACCUGUCACUCACCCAGCCCGUGGUACAGGUGUGUCCCAGGUGUGUCCCCAGGUGUCCCCAGGUGUCCCUCACCUGUCACUCACCCAGCCCGUGGUACAGGUGUGUCCCCAGGUGUGUCCCCAGGUGUCCCUCACCUGUCACUCACCCAGCCCGUGGUACAGGUGUGUCCCCAGGUGUCCCCAGGUGUCCCUCACCUGUCACUCACCCAGCCCGUGGUACAGGUGUGUCCCCAGGUGUGUCCCCAGGUGUCCCCAGGUGUGUCCCUCACCUGUCACUCACCCAGCCCGUGGUACAGGACGUUGCCCUGGCCCAGCCCCUCCUCCACCUUCAGCAGCUGCAGCGUCAGCCGGGGCCCGAUCUGGGACAGGGGACACGGGGACACAGGUGAGGGACAGGGGACACAGGUGAGGGACAGGGACACAGGGACACGGGGACACAGGUGAGGGACAGGUGACACGGGGACACAGGUGAGGGACAGGUGACACAGGUGAGGGACAGGGGACACUCAGGGGACACAGGGACACAGGUGAGGGACAGGGGACACAGGUGAGGGACAGGGGACACAGGUGAGGGACAGGGGACACGGGGACACAGGUGAGGGACAGGGGACACAGGUGAGGGACAGGGGACACAGGGACACAGGUGAGGGACAGGGGACACAGGGGACACAGGUGAGGGACAGGGGACACGGGGACACAGGUGAGGGACAGGGGACACAGGGGACACAGGGACACAGGUGAGGGACAGGGGACACAGGGACACAGGUGAGGGACAGGGGACACAGGUGAGGGACAGGGGACACUCAGGUGACACGGG
rnacentral:lncRNA from 1 species